rnacentral:rRNA from 1 species
UACGGAGGGAGCUAGCGUUGUUCGGAAUCACUGGGCGUAAAGCGCACGUAGGCGGAUUGUUAAGUCAGGGGUGAAAUCCUGGAGCUCAACUCCAGAACUGCCUUUGAUACUGGCGAGCUAGAGUACGGUAGAGGAGAGUGGAAUUCCCGGUGUAGCAGUGAAAUGCGUAGAGAUCGGGAGGAACAUCAGUUGCGAAGGCGGCUCUCUGGACCAGUACUGACGCUGAGGCACGAAAGCGUGGGGAGCAAACAGG